GAUGAAGAACGUAGCGAAAUGCGAUAAGUAAUGUGAAUUGCAGAAUUCAGUGAAUCAUCGAAUCUUUGAACGCACAUCGCGCCCUUUGGUAUUCCGAAGGGCAUGCCUGUUCGAGCGUCAUUUCACCACUCAAGCCUGGCUUGGUAUUGGGCGCCGCGGUCGAUCCGCGCGCCUCAAAGUCUCCGGCUGAGCUGUCCGUCUCUAAGCGUUGUGAUUUCAUUAAUCGCUUCGGAGUGCGGGCGGCCGCGGCCGUUAAAUCUUUCACAAGGUUGACCUCGGAUCAGGUAGGGAUACCCGCUGAACUUAAGCAUAUCAAUAAGCGGAGGA
rnacentral:misc_RNA from 1 species